rnacentral:lncRNA from 1 species
UCAUUUGGUAUAUUCAAUUCCUUAAUGCAUAUUUACAGUGUAAUAUAUAGAACUUAGUAGUCUAAUAAUAGAAAAUUUAAAAUUAUUCACUAUCAUGUCAAAUUUACAGUAAAUACAAUCAACCUAUAUACAUGGUCCUAACCAAUCACUUGUAUUUGUACAAGCUCAAGCACACUUUUGACACGAAAAAUAAAAAAAAAGCAUAAAAAUAUAACAAAAUUUCCUAUGUUACCCCUACACUUUAGAUAACACAUUGAGAGUCUCAUUAUAUAUUGUCCUUCUCAUCCCCUUCUUCUUUCA